rnacentral:lncRNA from 1 species
CAUUACAUUAAUUCAUUCAUAUAAGAGGAGGAGUUUGUCUUAUAGAUGAUUGUUUUUAAAUGACUGGAAUUCUGCUGAAAAUCCCAUCUAAGCAUAAUCAGGAUAGGUCCAGUUUAUUUUCAUUAAAAUUAACAUUAGCGUUCUUGUGUCAGGCCAUGCAGGUGGUGAGCGGCAUCCUGAGCGUUGCGUUGGGAAUUCUUUUUUCUGUCACCCAGGACAUGAACGAGUCCUUAUUCACUCUCUUCAGGGUUUCCCAGUUGACUGGAUUUCUUUUCAUAAUUGCAGGAGUUGCUUCCAGCCUGUUGUUCAAAUAUCCCGCUUUAUUAACUGUUUCCUUCGCUGUUAACAGUGGCUGCAUUGCUGUAGCUGUGGUUGCAGCUUGUCUGAUAAGCUUUGACCUGGCUCAGUGGGAUGACAACGAUCACUUGAAGCUGGAGGCGCUGGAGCUGUGCGUGUUGGGGUUCGAGGCUGUGCUCUCUGCAAUCCUUUGCUUCUGGUUCACUAAAGAGAGACAUGCGAAAACACCAUGAUCAAACUGAUGUGAGAGGAACCUUUGUUUGAGAAGACCUGAGAACUGUAUAGCAGUCUUUGAAAUAAGUUGAGCAACCCAAAUGUUUUAUGCUUUUUUUUUUUUUUAAGUCAAGUGUGGCUUUCUGUUCUGUCUUUCUGUGUAUCAGACUCACACUCACAGCUCUGACUGUGGUCUGGUGUUUGACUUGGACUGACAACACAAGGCUUGUGGUGAGCAAAUGUCAGCUUCUCUCAUGUGAAGAUGAAACCACUCUUCAUGCCCCUCAAUGCUAGUGGAUCUAAGUGCAGGGUUUUCUGUUCAUUUGCAGGGGUCUGUGUGUCUGUGUGGUUUUACACUUGUAGCUUGUUAUCAGUGGAAAUAUCUGCUGGUUCCACAGACAGAAAGCUUUGCAGAUAAACAGGCCUGCUUCAUUAGUGUGUGUAAUACUGUAUUUCACAUUAAGCUUAACUGUCAAAUAAAUACAGACAAAUGCAUUUUCA